AUCCAGUUGACGAGUCCCAAAUAGGGCAGGUGAAAUGUGCAUCCUGGAU
rnacentral:hammerhead_ribozyme from 1 species